rnacentral:snRNA from 1 species
AGCUUUGUGCAGUGGCAGUAUCAUAGCCAAUGAGGUUUAUCCGAGGCAUGAUUAUUGCUAAUUGAAAAAUUGAGGAAUAGUU